rnacentral:rRNA from 1 species
UACAGAGGUCUCAAGCGUUGUUCGGAUUCAUUGGGCGUAAAGGGCGCGUAGGCUGCGGGGUAAGUCGGGUGUGAAAUCUCAGAGCUCAACUCUGAAACUGCACUCGAUACUGCUCUGCUUGAGGACUGGAGAGGAGAUUGGAAUUCACGGUGUAGUGGUGAAAUGCGCAGAUAUCAGGAGGAACACCCGUGGCGAAAGCGGCUCUCUGGGACGGUACUGACGCUGAGACGCGAAAGCGUGGGGAGCAAACAGG